rnacentral:rRNA from 1 species
GACGAACGCUGGCGGCGUGCUUAACACAUGCAAGUCGAACGGAAAGGCCCUGCUUUUGUGGGGUGCUCGAGUGGCGAACGGGUGAGUAACACGUGAGUAACCUGCCCUUGACUUUGGGAUAACUUCAGGAAACUGGGGCUAAUACCGGAUAGGAGCUCCUGCUGCAUGGUGGGGGGUGGAAAUUUUCGGCGGGUGGGGAUGGACUCGCGGCUUAUCAGCUUGUUGGUGGGGUAGUGGCUUACCAAGGCUUUGACGGGUAGCCGGCCUGAGAGGGUGACCGGCCACAUGGGGACUGAGAGACGGCCCAGACUCCUACGGGAGGCAGCAGUGGGGAAUAUUGCACAAUGGGCGGAAGCCUGAUGCAGCAACGCCGCGUGCGGGAUGACGGCCUUCGGGUUGUAAACCGCUUUCGCCUGUGACGAAGCGUGAGUGACGGUAAUGGGUAAAGAAGUACCGGCUAACUACGUG